UUGGAGAAUGACACUUGGACAUGCUCUAUGCCAAUGGCACUCCUCAUGCUCUAAGCCUCCUACACAUUUCAGACAUGCCCCGAUAUGUGUUGGACAUGCAUUCAAACAUGUUCUACUAUUUGAAAAAAAAAAAAAAGAAUUGAGCACACUUCAAACACUUUGGGGACGUACCUGUUCAUUAUUUAGAUACAUAUGAAAUACAUUAUAAGUUUAAAGAAAUAAACUUGAGAGCCAAUUAUUAAAAAUCAUUAUAAUGUAGAUUCAAACCUAGUAAUCACUCCGCUUUUAGGCUUUUUAAAUUUAGAAACCUAAAGACCUAGAACUUCCAAUUUGUUUGGUAAUAGAGCUGUUUAAAAUUGAUAUCCACUCUUUUUGACAUUUUUGUGCACAUUUCUUUUCCUACAUAUAGAAUGUGAAAAACGUUCUUUUACUAUAGAUAUAAUAAAUAUAAAUAUAUUUGUAAUGUAAAAAACAAAGAAGUUAUUAUUUUCAUGUUAUAUAUACAAAAAAUGUAUAUUUAUUUGUUGUCAUAUGCCCACCUCAUCGUGUUUUGAGAUUUUAAAAAAUGAAUAUUUAUUUUCCUUAUCAAUGUGACCGUAUCAUAUUGUAUCAUGUUCAUUCGUGCUCUCAUUAGGGGCAGUCUGCUGUCAAGCUUAAUGUCAUGUAUGGAACUAAGAGAGACGCUAAUUGACCGUAUCUAUGGAGUUUUGUAACAUUUUUUUUUUCCUCUUUUCUUUAUAUUUAAACCUCGUUUGCAAAUGAUGUUGCCUAAUCAAACACUUGAAUAUCAAAUGGAAAUCCUGAUUAGAAAACUGAAUCCAGUCUCAUCUGCAAAUUUUGUUAUAUCAAAAAUUGGACAUCAAGUUCUAUUGGAACAUCUAUCAUGCUUCGUGUGUCAGCCUGCCCAACUAACUGUAUAAUUUUGAAGUGUUGCGUGUGUGUGACUCUGUUUAGUUGUGUUAUUCUCUCUCUAUUUUCUCAUGAUGGAGUUGGUACAUUAGGUAGAAAAGGAGGGAAUGCUGCUGCCAAACUUUGUGCACGAGGAGUCGCAUUUAAGCUAAGUUGGAGUAUUGUUUGCUUCUCAUGAUCAAAUGUUAUAGAUCAUCUCUGGCUGGACUAUCCUAUAUUCUGCAGGAUGCUGUCUCAGAAUGCACCUCAUCUAUGGUACAUGUAUCUUCCUUGAUUCUUCUUGGUGGUUUGAAGGUGACUUCAAUGUCUUUUUUUUAUCAGAAAGAUGAUUUCAAUGUCUGGUCCACCAUCAAGAUGUGGUGAGAAAGUGGGUAGAAGAUCAGCCUUUUGUUUCUUUGUGCCAGCUUAAAUGUACUAAAAGAUUCACUUUUGUUCAACAGUAUUUUUUUUAUUCUUUCCCUUUUCUUUUCUUAUCCUUUUCUUUCCCUUUCGUUUUUAUUUUGUUUUCUUUCCCUUUUGUUUUUAUGAACUUCUUGUCCUCCUCCUUUGUAUUUCAGCUUUUUAAUGAUGAUGAAUUUUCUUUGUUGCCUUUCCAAAAAAAAAAAAAAUGUAAUAUUCCACUUCUCUGUUGUUUGGUUCAUGAAUCAAA